rnacentral:rRNA from 1 species
GCAGUCGACGGUAACAGGAAUUAGCUUGCUAAUUUGCUGACGAGUGGCGCACGGGUGCGUAACGCGUAUGCAACUUACCCCUAACAGGAGGAUAGCCUUUCGAAAGGAAGAAUAAUACUCCAUAAUAUUUAUAUGUGGCAUCACAUAUUUAUUAAAACUACGGUGGUUAGGGAUGGGCAUGCGUCCUAUUAGUUAGUUGGUGAGGUAACGGCUCACCAAGGCGAUGAUAGGUAGGGGGCCUGAGAGGGUUAUCCCCCACACUGGUACUGAGACACGGACCAGACUCCUACGGGAGGCAGCAGUGAGGAAUAUUGGUCAAUGGACGGAAGUCUGAACCAGCCAUGCCGCGUGCAGGAAGACUGCCCUAUGGGUUGUAAACUGCUUUUAUAUAGGAAUAAACCCCUCAACGAGUUGGGGGCUGAAUGUACUAUAAGAAUAAGCACCGGCUAACUCCGUGCCAGCAGCCGCGGUAAUACGGAGGGUGCAAGCGUUAUCCGGAUUUAUUGGGUUUAAAGGGUCCGCAGGCGGGAGAAUAAGUCAGUGGUGAAAUCCUAUCGCUUAACGAUAGAACUGCCAUUGAUACUGUUUUUCUUGAGUGUAGUUGAAGUUGGCGGAAUGUGUCAUGUAGCGGUGAAAUGCAUAGAUAUGACACAGAACACCGAUUGCGAAGGCAGCUAACUAAACUAUAACUGACGCUCAUGGACGGAAGCGUGGGGAGCGAACAGGAUUAGAUACCCUGGUAGUCCACGCUGUAAACGAUGAUUACUCGGUGUUGGCGAU